rnacentral:lncRNA from 1 species
GUCACCCUGGGCUGGAACCCAGGGUUCCCAGAACCCGCCUGGGGACAGACUCCCUCCCUCGGGCUCUCAGGCCCCUUUCAGUCACCCCUUCCCAGCACACGCUUCUGAGUUUGUCCACCCUGUUCCUGCCCACCCUGACGCCCGUGGACGUCCAGAGCAUGAGGAACAGGAGGCUCUGAGCCCCGGGCCUCAGAAGCGUUCCACCUUCAUAAGUGAGGAAACGGAGACACAGGAAGACACCCACAGGCAGGCAACUGGAAUGCACGGUGCUUCUGAGUCAGCAUCUCUGACAGGUAGAAAAUGAGUCCUGCAGCCUGGCAGGGCACGGAGGGCGAGGCUGACGCCUGGUUCCCAGCUCCCCACACACACUGAGCAUGCCCCACAGCCCUGAGACAAACCCUUCUGUGGCCUUUAACAGACGGAAAGAGACCGCAUGACCCCGAGGGUGGGGGACAUCCCACCUGAACAUGGCCAGCGUGGCCACCUCAGAGCACAGCAUUCUGGGGGCCUCUUUAUGGAAAAAACAGUAUGAAACACUGUGUGAAAUCAGGUUUCAGAAUGAAUGUUGAGCGGGGCACGUGGCACACUCUGAAAUCCCAGCAACCAGGAGGCUGAGGCAAGAGGACCACAAGUUGGAGCCCAGCCUCAGCAACUUAGCAAGAUCCUGUCUCAAAAUUUAAAAAUAAAAACAU